rnacentral:piRNA from 1 species
UAAAUCUCGAUGUAGAGCCUUAUCAAA